ACGGAGGAUCCAAGCGUUAUCCGGAAUCAUUGGGUUUAAAGGGUCCGUAGGCGGUUUAAUAAGUCAGUGGUGAAAGCCCAUCGCUCAACGGUGGAACGGCCAUUGAUACUGUUAAACUUGAAUUAUUAGGAAGUAACUAGAAUAUGUAGUGUAGCGGUGAAAUGCUUAGAGAUUACAUGGAAUACCAAUUGCGAAGGCAGGUUACUACUAAUGGAUUGACGCUGAUGGACGAAAGCGUGGGUAGCGAACAGGAUUAGAUACCCUGGUAGUCCACGCCGUAAACGAUGGAUACUAGCUGUUGGGCGCAAGUUCAGUGGCUAAGCGAAAGUGAUAAGUAUCCCACCUGGGGAGUACGAACGCAAGUUUG
rnacentral:rRNA from 1 species